rnacentral:rRNA from 1 species
AAGUCGUAACAAGGUUUCCGUAGGUGAACCUGCGGAAGGAUCAUUAUUGAAUAAGCUUGGUUGGGUUGUUGCUGGCUCUCAGGAGCAUGUGCACGCCUAACACCAAACUUUUUACCACCUGUGCACCUUCUGUAGACCUGGAUAAACUCUCGAGGAAACUCGGUUUGAGGACUGCUGUGCGCAAAGCCAGCUUUCCUUGUACCUCCGGUCUAUGUUUAUAUACACCCCUAUAGUAUGUCUCAGAAUGUUUGUUGUUGGGCUUUGAAUGCCUUUAAAACUUUAAAUACAACUUUCAACAACGGAUCUCUUGGCUCUCGCAUCGAUGAAGAACGCAGCGAAAUGCGAUAAGUAAUGUGAAUUGCAGAAUUCAGUGAAUCAUCGAAUCUUUGAACGCACCUUGCGCUCCUUGGUAUUCCGAGGAGCAUGCCUGUUUGAGUGUCAUGAAAUUCUCAACCUUUUCAGCUUUUUCUGUUGAUCAGGCUUGGAUGUGGGAGUAUGCGGGCUUCUCAUCUCAAGAGGUCGGCUCUCCUGAAAUGCAUUAGCGGGACCUUUGUUGCCUGGCUUUGGUGUGAUAAAUUAUUUACGCCAUCGUGAAGAGCAGCUUUAUAAACGGGGUUCAGCUUCUAAAUGGUCUCCUUUAAGACCAACUUCUGACAAUUUGACCUCAAAUCAGGUAGGACUACCCGCUGAACUUAA